rnacentral:lncRNA from 1 species
CAAUUUCAAAACAUUGGCUGUGACAGGAUGAAUUACUUCAUCACUUGAUUCACUUUCUAGAUAGCAAGAGGAAACAUUUCUCAGACUUUCCUUGGACUUCAAUAAAUGUGAAGUAAAGUUGUGGACAGAAAGAAACAUCCGUGGUCCACCAUAAAAAGGCAGACCACAUCUUCAGUGGCAUCUUCAGUGUCUUCUGAAGAUCUAAGUGACUUAACAACGCAUCAUGGCUAACUCCGCUGACAGAAAUGAGAAAACCCACGUGGAAAUAGAUAAGGGAAUGACAAGAAGAAAGGAAGGAUGGGAGAGGCAUAGUACAGCUUAUCACGAUCAAAGGACAGAAGCACAUCUGUAAAAAGCAAAAACCAGGCCCCAGCCUCAAUCAGC